rnacentral:rRNA from 1 species
GAUGAACGCUGGCGGCGUGCUUAACACAUGCAAGUCGAACGGAAAGGCUCCUGCUUGCAGGGGUACUCGAGUGGCGAACGGGUGAGUAACACGUGGGUGAUCUGCCCUGCACUUCGGGAUAAGCCUGGGAAACUGGGUCUAAUACCGGAUAGGACGAUGGUUUGGAUGCCAUUGUGGAAAGUUUUUCGGUGUGGGAUGAGCUCGCGGCCUAUCAGCUUGUUGGUGGGGUAAUGGCCUACCAAGGCGUCGACGGGUAGCCGGCCGGAGAGGGUGUACGGCCACAUUGGGACUGCGAUACGGCCCAGACUCCUACGGGAGGCAGCAGUGGGGAAUAUUGCACAAUGGGCGCAAGCCUGAUGCAGCGACGCCGCGUGUGGGAUGACGGCCUUCGGGUUGUAAACUCCUUUCGCUAGGGACGAAGCGCAAGUGACGGUACCUGGAGAAGAAGCACCGGCUAACUACGUG